GCCUGAGUGGCUCAGUCGGUUGAGCAUCCAACUUCGGCUCAGGUCAUGAUCUCACGGCCCGUGGGUUCGAGGCCCACAUCGGGCU
rnacentral:tRNA from 1 species